GAAUUUUUGGUUUUGUUACGGGAAGAACAGGAUUUAUUUUCUGAUUUUUCACAAAUGCAAGCAGAUGUAGAGAGUUAUUUGCCCAACUCUAGUUGUGAGGAUGAAAUCCAUUAUGGAGGGGGAGACGCUCAGUCAAAACAGCCAUAAAAGUAAACAGACAGACCUAUUCUGGUGGCAUUCAGGCAACUCCCAGCAUUCUUGUUAAAAGUAAAGCGUUCUUGCUUUUUCUCUUGCCCCACUUCUAUAAACGGCAAUCCAGUGGUCACAGUGAGGCUGGCCUCUUCUCUUUAGAUCCUACUGCUAUGUAAUCUUACCUAUUCUGUCUUUCAGUGUUUCAAAUGAAGAUGAAGAGAUGAACACACCUCUUUGACCAAAUUCAUCUUCCUAGGUUACUCCCAAACCACUAGGCCUCCAGGGGUUACUCUGUAGUUCAUGUUUGAAAGAUUAGGAUUUGUACGUGCACACACAGAAAACGAAGUAGAAAUUGGUUUUAGUCCCCACCUUUAGAUAAUUUGGUGCAAAUAGAUGUGGACACUUCUUUUGAAAUAAGAAUGUUCUAUGUUAAUUUAAAUUGGUAAAAAAAUAAGACCUCAACAAAAUAGGACAAUCUGAAAUGUGUGUGUCCACACACAGACUUGCACCAAAAUAGCUAAAGGUGUGAAUUAAAACCAGUGUUGCUAGUUUGGUUUCGGAUUGUGUGUAGACAAGCCCCUAAAUUCACCACUCCAAUGACUAGAAAUGUAGGUCUCAUCCCUGCACUAAAAUGCACAGACCUAGUGCGUGGCACCCCAUUCAUUUCCAUGGGGAUCUGCACCUGCAGACUUGUUUGCAGGAUUCCCAUACUAAAUCCUGCAAAGAUUUAGGCUAUGUCUACACAGCACACCUUAAACAGCCAUGCCCUUGUAGUCAUUCUUUGUCAGCAGGACACAGCUUGCCUGCUGACAAAAUAAAACCACCUUCAGAGAGGGACAGUAGCUCUCCCCUUGACAAAGCGCUGUCCACAUGGGCACUUUUUGUGGGUAAAACUUUUUGACAAAAGUUUUACUGACAAAAGUGCAGGGUUGACAUAGCCUUGCACACGCGCUUAACUUUCCACACUGUAAGCAGUCCCAAACAAAUCAAUAGGACACCUUACCAUGCAGAAGUUAAGCACUUAUGUAGAUCUUUGCAAGAUCAGAGCCUGAGGGUGACAGAGAGGCCUUAGCAAGCAACUGUGACUUUUUCACAAAAGACAGAAAUAUUUCAUAGCCAACAAUGCCUUUACUUGUACAUUCACAGAGGCAGGGAUAAAGUGUGCAUAAUGCCGGAAAAGCAAUCACAGGAAGGGGAACAGAAAGAAGCCCUGGUGGAGAGGUGUAUUUUCCAGUUAGCAAAAUGUUAGAGGCAGAUUAGCCAGUGAACUCAGUGGAAACCCUCCAACACAUUGACUGUCAUUUUUAUGUCCUUGCAUCUUUCAUUCUGAGCCCUCUGAAUUACUGCAACAAUCAUUCUGGCCAUGCACAGUACCUGCAGAGAUCUAGGACUUAGACUUAAACCCUGGUCAGAACAAAGUGCCAUGACCUCACAGAGGGGCCCUCAAGUUAGAUUUCUUCUCUGUUUAGGAUGCUUCAAGUACAACUUUAUGCUAGUUAGCAGUUUAUUUUGGACAUGGGGUAACUACGUAAAUGAAAGGUUCCAGUCUGCAAUAAUACCAUCUGAUAACUUUUACCCAAGAAUCUCAAAGUGUGCACAACCUACAUUAAUUGACCAUACCCACAGCAUCCCAGCUCAUUUUAUAGCUGGACCGAGGCAGAAGGUUGAAAUUACUUGCCAAAGACCAUAUAGUGUAGCAGACCAAUGGCAGAGCUGACAAAAAUAAAAAAAAAUCCCAAUUCACAGUAAAUCUCAUUCCCAAAUAAGAGAGUCAUCUAUGAAAUUGGAAAAGGGGAGCAAGGUUGAAACAGCAUGUGGUGCCAAACAGAGGGUUCCAUAAUGCCCACUCACUACAUGUGGAAUAUCUAAAUAUGCUGCAAAGCAACCCUACACUUAGGUGAAUGAAGAAUCCUUUCUAAAGGCCAUAUGUUUUAAGCUUUAUAGUGAAGCACAACAAUACAGGGAUCAGCAAGCAGUCAAGUGCAGUUGGCAAUGAUAUUUUUCCAACUUCACAAUAGAAGUAUUAGAAAUGGAAUUCUAGAAAGUACUUUAAAAACCAGGCAUUGAACAUUACAUUUUGACAACAUUAUAAUUAUAAAGUUGAAGGCACAGUCUUGACAGAAUUAUAUAUGUAAUAUUACAUACAUAUAGGUGUAAAUUUAAAGAGGCAUAACAGUACUAAAAUUAGUAUUUCACAGAAUUGUUCACCAUUCCUUUUCCGAUACCAAACUUAAUAAAAAAGAUUUCUCUAACGUUAAAGAUAUUUGGCUGGAACUUCUGGGUUUUUUGGUCAGAAAACAAAAUAUUCUUAGUGGCUCAUGUAAUUAAACAUUGCCCUGCUUCUGUUCUGACUUUGUUGGUCUUACAGCUCCUUUUGGUAUGAAACUGACUACAUGCAAUAAGAGGCAUGCCUGUAUCAUUUGUAAAAGUUUACUGAUAAAUCCAGCGUAAAAUGUCAGACUGAUUAUUUUCAGGUUUUUGUUUUGGCUUUUUUUAAAUCAGAGGUCUUACAUAUAUCUAAUGACAAUACAGGAAAUAAUAAUAAAUAAACUAGUUCGAUGCAUAGUUUCAUUUGUAACUGAAUAUCUUAAAAUGGUUUUGAUGACACAAUCACAUGAUUUCAAGAUGUCCGGAGACAGGAGUAAAGUAUAUUUACAGAAAAAAAUUGCACAAUUUACAUGUGAGCAAACAUUUAACCUUUUAUGCUAUUUCACCUGCACUGUACAUUCAAACUGGAAAACAUUUUGGUUUUUCAACUUCAAGCACAGCAUGAAAUAUUUUAUUUACAAGGCAUCAACAUAAACAUUCUAAAAUUUCAGCAAGUUCCCACACAGAUGUUUACCAGGAAAAAAAACCUGUUUUCAAAAAGACUGACUCAGAUUUUCUGGACCAGAUGUACAAAACUGAGUAUGUCAAUGCAUUCAAGUGCAAAACAAAUUUCCAAUCACCUGAUUAAAAUAAGAGGCUUCUUAGUAUUGGAUACCACAGUGCAUGUGCAGUAAAGGGAUCAAAUACUGGUUUUAGUGAUAUAGAAAGCAUUAAAGGGGGACUUUCAUACAAGGAAAACUUGCAGAUUUAACCAUAUCUAUUCAUCUUAAAAACUGAGUAAUAAAUUGCUCUCAUUGCCAUAUGUUUGCUAACUACCAACCAAGAGUUUAAAACCAGGAUUUGUCCCAAGUGACCAUCCUUGAUUCCUGAAGUAAAAGUCUUAAUUUUGAUAGUUUUUUCCAUGCAACAGAUGUCAUAAACAUAGGAUUAUCAACCUGUUCCUGCUCCCACAUCAGUGACAAAAUUCCCAUUUUUGAGUCAGUCAGGGCCCAAUCAUAUUUGUUGCAGGAUCAAACAGAAGAUGACCAAUUACUAGCAUAAUUCAAAACCAAGUUCUCUCAUAUAAAGAAACAGGCUGCUGCCAUGUGAAAGUUCUUCGGUGAGAAAACAAAUCAUGCAGAAUACGCCCCACUGGACCUGCUGAGUCUUGCCAGAAAGAGCCUCUAAAAAUGAGGGUAGGUAAAAAACAAAACUGGAAUCAUGGAAGCAAUUUAUGUGAUCUUAAAGCAAUAAAUGCUGCAUGGCAGUAAUAUAUUGGUUUCUACAUAACAAUUCAUCCACUAAUCAGAAAUAGGUGGUGUUCUCAGUCUUGGGCAGCACAGCUAAUAGAAUGUCUUUACUAUAGCAUAAAUUAAAGUUUCUUGACACUAGAAAGGACAAAUAUAGCUAUAAUCUAGAUUGAAAUAUUUCUUAAAAUCUUAUCAAUUUGUGAUCUCAUGAAAACAAAUUCCUGAAUGAAAAUUUGGUGGAAACAACAAAAAGUUAUAUACUGCACUCAGCAUUACGAUGUGUGUAAAAUACUCUCUGAUCACACUUUAAGGACAACAUAUUCUGCUGCACAAAACUUCCUGUUUUCAGAUUUUGAUAUUUUCCCUUAUGAUGUGAAAAUUAUACAAUAUAUCAAACAUUUGCUUUUGAUAUUUUACAUACAUUGUGUGUGCAUUAUCUGUGAUUCUCAACUUAAAAACUAGAACACUAACAUUUACUAUUCUCUGUGUCUAUUCUCUGAUAGAUGCGCUGACCUCUCUGAAAAACACAAAUGAGAAUUAAAUGCUCACAUCAUGGAUUAGACUUCAUGGUAUAGUUCCUCAUAAUUAUUUACCUAGUAAACUAUUAAAUAGCUCUCUCAGCAAAGGAUUUCAAGAAUAAGAUUUGCAGAGUAGCCAAUAUUCCAGGGAGGUAAAUAGGUGAUAAACACCUAGUUGCUUUUUCAGUGAGAAAUUUCAGUUUUUUUAUGAUUAGCAAUCAAAAAUCUAAUUUUGAGAAUUCAGUAUUGUAACAAGUGAAAGAGGACCCAAUUCACAAAGUCUGGAUCUGGAUAUUCCCAAAUUGAGGUGGUUGGGAUCCGGGGUUUUGGUUCAGAGUCAUCUCUGGUACACUAUUAACAUCUUUACAAGCAAUUGAUAUUAGCUCAGUAGGUCGUAAAUAGAGCAAAUGCUGUGUGGUAACAUUACCUAAGUGUGAAUGCGUAAUUGUAAAGAUUACAAUGGUGGACCUUGUAACAUCAGUAUGAAUCACUGCAGUUCAUUUAAAGGGAACUGCAAGUGCUGAUAACCAGUAAUAACUACACUGAAUGCUAACAGACUUUUUAAAAAACACAAUAAUUCAGGUAGUAGCACCACCCUAUUACUUCCUCAGAUGAGCAUGAGAGAAAUCUCAGAUGGUGUGUUUUCUGAGCUAGCAGAGGCUAGGAGAGGCAAGACAUCAACCCACUGUGUGUAUAUUUAAUGUGCUUUCUAGCAGACAAUCUCAGUUGCAGGAGUGUAUUGGGACACAGAUGUACAGAGAAAGGAAAGAAGUUAAUCAGGGAGAAGAUGGGGGGGAAAUAAAUCCAAGCUCCCUCAGAUCUCUCUCUCUACAUAUGAUCACGAUCCAGAUCAAGGGAGAAGAGAUGGUAAAGGAUUUGGGUAAAAAAA